rnacentral:rRNA from 1 species
GUGAGGAAUAUUGGUCAAUGGGCGGGAGCCUGAACCAGCCAAGUCGCGUGAAGGAAGAAGGAUCUAUGGUUCGUAAACUUCUUUUGCAGGGGAAUAAAGUGCAGGACGUGUCCUGUUUUGUAUGUACCCUGAGAAUAAGGAUCGGCUAACUCCGUGCCAGCAGCCGCGGUAAUACGGAGGAUCCAAGCGUUAUCCGGAUUUAUUGGGUUUAAAGGGUGCGCAGGCGGGUUGAUAAGUCAGCGGUGAAAGUUUGCAGCUUAACUGUAAAAAUGCCGUUGAAACUGUCGGACUUGAGUGUAAAUGAGGUAGGCGGAAUGCGUGGUGUAGCGGUGAAAUGCAUAGAUAUCACGCAGAACUCCGAUUGCGAAGGCAGCUUACUAAGCUACAACUGACACUGAAGCACGAAAGCGUGGGGAUCAAACAGGAUUAGAAACCCGUGUAGUCC